AGAGUUUGAUCAUGGCUCAGGAUGAACGCUGGCGGUAUGCCUAACACAUGCAAGUCGAACGGGUAUCUUCGGAUAUUAGUGGCGGACGGGUGCGUAACGCGUGAGAAUCUGCCUUCAGGAUGGGGACAACAGUUGGAAACGACUGCUAAUACCCGAUAUGACGAAAGUUGAAAGAUUUAUCGCCUGGAGAUGAGCUCGCGUCAGAUUAGCUAGAUGGUGUGGUAAAGGCGCACCAUGGCGACGAUCUGUAGCUGGUCUGAGAGGAUGAGCAGCCACACUGGGACUGAGACACGGCCCAGACUCCUACGGGAGGCAGCAGUGGGGAAUUUUCCGCAAUGGGCGCAAGCCUGACGGAGCAAUACCGCGUGAGGGAGGAAGGCUCUUGGGUCGUAAACCUCUUUUCUCAGGGAAGAACAAAAUGACGGUACCUGAGAAUCAGCUCGAUC
rnacentral:rRNA from 1 species